UUGUUUCUUGGUUUUAGCCUCUUUUGGGAGAAAAUGAGUAUAAGUGUUGUCUAAACACUCCUAAUCCAUCUUUAACUCUUAUAAUUAGUCAAAUGCAUUGGAUUGUGACACAUUCUGACCAUAAAAACACUAACAAAGUUAUUUCCGCUUCUAAGCAAUUUUUUGUUCGUUUUAGCCUCUUUUGGGAGAAAAUGAGUAUCAGUGUUGUCUAAACACUCCUAAUCCAUCUCUAACUCUUAUAAUUAGUCAAAUGCAUUGGAUUAUGACACAUUUUGACCAUAGAAAAACAACCAAAGCCAUAUACUGAUUCUAAGCAAUUUUUUGUUGGUUUUAUCCUCUUUUA
rnacentral:sRNA from 1 species